rnacentral:rRNA from 1 species
GAUCCUGGCUUAGGAUGAACGCUGGCGGCGUGCCUAAUACAUGCAAGUCGUGCGAGGUAGCUUGCUACCUAGCGGCGAACGGGUGAGUAACACGUAGGUAACCUGCCUUUAAGACUGGGAUACCCAGACGAAAGUUUGGCUAAUACCGGAUAACAACGGGGAUGGCAUCUUCCCGCUUGAAAGUCGCGUUUGCGGCACUUUUAGAUGGACCUGCGGAACAUUAGCUAGUUGGUGAGAUAACAGCCCACCAAGGCGAGGAUGUUUAGCCGACCUGAGAGGGUGAACGGCCACAAUGGGACUGAGACACGGCCCAUACUCCUACGGGAGGCAGCAGUAGGGAGUUUUCGGCAAUGGGCGAAAGCCUGACCGAGCAACGCCGCGUGAGUGAAUGAAGGUCUUCGGAUUGUAAAGCUCUGUUACGAGGGAAGAAGGUCCGCUUCAGGAAAUGGGAGCGGGAUUGACGGUACCUCGCCAGAAAGGGACGGCUAACUACGUGCCAGCAGCCGC